CUGGCGGCGUGCCUAAUACAUGCAAGCGGAUGGUUAGCUUGCUAACCAUGGCGAACGGGUGAGUAACACGUAGGUAACCUGUCUUAAAGACGAGGAUAACCAUUGGAAACGAUGGAUAAUACUGGAUAGGAUAUAUAAGGGCAUCCUGAUAUAUUUAAAGAUUUAUCACUUUAUGAGGGGCCUGCGGCGCAUUAGUUAGAUGGCGGUGUAAAGGACCACCAUGACGAUGAUGCGUAGCCGGACUGAGAGGUUGAACGGCCACAAUGGGACUGAGAACGGCCCAUACUCCUACGGGAGGCAGCAGUAGGGAAUUUUCGGCAAUGGACGGAAGUCUGACCGAAGCAACGCCGCGUGAACGAAGAAGUAUUUCGGUAUGUAAAGUUCUUUUAUUUGGGAAGAAAAGAUAAGAUUGACUGUACCCAAAUGAAUAAGCUCCGGCUAACUACGUGCCAGCAGCUGC
rnacentral:rRNA from 1 species